GCUGGUUGACAAUGGCGGUGACCUCCCGGUGUAGGAUUUCUCCUUGUUCAUCGGCAUCUGUCGUCAGUUUCCCGUAUUUCGUUUCUAUCUCGGCUUUCUCAGUUUCGACAUUAGGCACCAUUUCUUCAUAUCGCGGAAUGAGUGGAAUAAUGAACCUCCAGAUGUCUAUGUACACGUGUAUGAAUAAACUCUGUUGUACUUGCGCAUGCGAGCUGAUCCAAUA